rnacentral:rRNA from 1 species
UACGAAGGGGGCUAGCGUUGCUCGGAUUUACUGGGCGUAAAGGGCUCGUAGGCGGCCAACUAAGUCAGACGUGAAAUCCCUCAGCUUAACUGGGGAACUGCGUCUGAUACUGGAUGGCUUGGAUUCGGGAGAGGAAUGCGGAAUUCCAGGUGUAGCGGUGAAAUGCGUAGAUAUCUGGAGGAACACCGGUGGCGAAGGCGGCAUUCUGGACCGACAUUGACGCUGAGGAGCGAAAGCCAGGGGAGCAAACGGG